UAGAUCGGAUAUUGUCUUGCUUUCUUCGGGGACGACUUCCAGACGCUUCUGAAGUGGCGGUAGCUGACACGCAGUAUUACGUAACGUAAUGAUCUUCGUUAUCGCCGAUAUAAUCCAGCAUUUUCUCAUGUAGCAGGUUCAACGUGUGUACCACAUCUUUGAUUUUCGCUAUGCGGGUCGUCACGUCACUGGACUCUUGUUCCUCCGUGGCGUGCCAUUUGUGCAAGUGUAUCGCGAAAUCAGUUUUUUAUUCGUAGAUAGCCGACAAUCUGUCCUACGUUGCCUUUAUCGUGUUGCAACUAAUUAUGUAGAGAAUCAAUUGCCUUGCGACUGUAGUCGCGAUAAACUUUUGCGCUGUACACCACCGCGAAAGGUAUCUGCCUUUUGCCACGUGACCACAUUUCUUUCCUGCUGUCUACGCACCGUCCCGACCGCGCUAUCCACUGGCUCGUUCCGGUUUUCUUGUCUCUCGCUCGCGACUUCUCAAGCUUUCUGAGCAUUUAAGAUCAUACGGAUUUGGAACUUAAAAACACCCCAGUUAUCCACGCCGCUAAGUUCGGUAAUAACCGAAAACUCGGUCUCCGUUGCAUUUUGAAGUUACCUUUACGCUAUUGCACGAGUCGGUUAUAACCUCGGUUUUUCAUCAGAGUUUUCCGCUCCAACAAAGUCAAGUCAUAAAGUAAUUGGGCCCUUAACCAUAUGCAUCCAUAUGCAGAUGAAGAUUAGUUUCGUUGCGGUUUAGCGACAAACGAGUUUAUUAUAACCUCAAGAUUAUCUUGGUAUUUCAGUCUGUGUACGUGCUGGCUGCUUUACUUUUCAAGGAAAGAGAAAGAAUGACGACAAAGGCGGUGUGAACGUGGAAUGAAGAAAAUAACUAUGUGAAACUGACCGUGGUUUGCCCAUCAAUCGCUACUAACCAACCGUACCUACUGAACUUGUUCGAGUUUAUUGGUAUCUUGCAACAACCCUCCAUACCAAUAAAAAUACCAAUAAAAAUAGACGUGAAAUGUCAGGAUUAUUUGACCACGCCGCGGGACAAACCGUAUACACGAUGUUCUGUGAAAUGGUGUACAUCAUUUUUGAAGCACUUCCAAUAAUGUAAGAAAAAAAUAUUUCUAACACAAAUUAGUCAGCUUUGAGUCGGCUGUAAAUUGCGAUAUUUAAAAUUGGCAACAAAUUGUUUCUUUUGAUAAAAAGCCAAGGUCAUCUUGACUUUUUUAAGUAGCACAAUAUAUUUUUGAUAUCAUAACAUUGUAUGUGUGGAUUUUGGUUUACAAAGGUGUUGAGUCAUUUUUUGAAGGCGACAUUGAGAAAUAAUGCACAGUUGUCUUUCCAUAGCAACUUAUUAGGAAAAUCAAUCCGAAGUAUAAUAUCGCCUUCAAAAAUAACUAAAUAAAUUUCCACUGUAUGCUCAAA